rnacentral:rRNA from 1 species
UGGGGAAUAUUGGACAAUGGGGGCAACCCUGAUCCAGCAAUGCCGCGUGUGUGAAGAAGGUUUUCGGAUUGUAAAGCACUUUCGGCGGGGACGAUGAUGACGGUACCCGCAGAAGAAGGCCCCGGCUAACUUCGUGCCAGCAGCCGCGGUAAUACGAAGGGGGCUAGCGUUGCUCGGAAUGACUGGGCGUAAAGGGCGUGUAGGCGGUUUGUACAGUCAGAUGUGAAAUCCCCGGGCUUAACCUGGGAGCUGCAUUUGAUACGUGCAGACUAGAGUGUGAGAGAGGUUGUGGAAUUCCCAGUGUAGAGGUGAAAUUCGUAGAUAUUGGGAAGAACACCGGUGGCGAAGGCGGCAACCUGGCUCAUGACUGACGCUGAGGCGCGAAAGCGUGGGGAGCAAACAGGAUUAGAUACCCUGGUAGUCCACGCUGUAAACGAUGUGUGCUGGAUGUUGGGCCAACUUAGUUGUUCAGUGUCGUAGCUAACGCGAUAAGCACACCGCCUGGGGAGUACG